CCCGUGCUACAACCGCUCAGUUUGGGUUUGAAGCUCGGUUAUCCGACACCCUAAUCUGGCGAGUCUUAGUUAAAUA
rfam:Aeribacillus pallidus strain 8m3 NODE_2, whole genome shotgun sequence.